rnacentral:rRNA from 1 species
UACGGGGGGGGCAAGCGUUGUUCGGAAUUACUGGGCGUAAAGGGCUCGUAGGUGGCCAACUAAGUCAGACGUGAAAUCCCUCGGCUUAACCGGGGAACUGCGUCUGAUACUGGAUGGCUUGAGUUCGGGAGAGGGAUGCGGAAUUCCAGGUGUAGCGGUGAAAUGCGUAGAUAUCUGGAGGAACACCGGUGGCGAAGGCGGCAUCCCGGACCGACACUGACACUGAGGAGCGAAAGCCAGGGGAGCAAACGGG